rnacentral:rRNA from 1 species
UACAGAGGUCUCAAGCGUUGUUCGGAUUCAUUGGGCGUAAAGGGUGCGUAGGUGGCGCCGUAAGUCAGGUGUGAAAUUUCGGAGCUUAACUCCGAAACUGCAUUUGAUACUGCGGUGCUUGAGGACUGGAGAGGAGACUGGAAUUCACGGUGUAGCAGUGAAAUGCGUAGAUAUCGUGAGGAAGACCAGUGGCGAAGGCGGGUCUCUGGACAGUUCCUGACGCUCAUGCACGAAAGCGUGGGGAGCAAACAGG